UGGUUGUCGUCAGCUCGUGUCGUGAGAUGUUGGGUUAAGUCCCGCAACGAGCGCAACCCUUGAUCUUAGUUGCCAGCAUUUAGUUGGGCACUCUAAGGUGACUGCCGGUGACAAACCGGAGGAAGGUGGGGAUGACGUCAAAUCAUCAUGCCCCUUAUGACCUGGGCUACACACGUGCUACAAUGGAUGGUACAAAGGGCUGCAAGACCGCGAGGUCAAGCCAAUCCCAUAAAACCAUUCUCAGUUCGGAUUGUAGGCUGCAACUCGCCUACAUGAAGCUGGAAUCGCUAGUAAUCGCGGAUCAG
rnacentral:rRNA from 1 species